UACGAAGGGGGCUAGCGUUGCUCGGAAUCACUGGGCGUAAAGGGUGCGUAGGCGGGUCUUUAAGUCAGGGGUGAAAUCCUGGAGCUCAACUCCAGAACUGCCUUUGAUACUGAAGAUCUUGAGUUCGGGAGAGGUGAGUGGAACUGCGAGUGUAGAGGUGAAAUUCGUAGAUAUUCGCAAGAACACCAGUGGCGAAGGCUGCUCACUGGCCCGAUACUGACGCUGAUGCGCGAAAGCGUGGGUAGCAAACAGG
rnacentral:rRNA from 1 species